AUUCAAAUCAUCCGACAUCUUGAAAACAAACCGAUAUCGUUUAAAUUUAUAUGUAUGUAUUAUACACAACAUAUUAUUACGAAGUUAGUAACGUGUUUAUUAAACUCAACAAUUUUUUUUUUUCAAAAAAUAUCGAGUCUGAUAUUGAAGAAAAAACAAAAAUUCAAUAACCGAUUUUCCGAUACUUCCAAGAUCGGCCCAAGCGAGUUGAACUUCAUCCAAUAGAAGAAUUUCGGAACCAUUACAAACGUACAUAAUGGAUAUCUUGGCCUGUGAUGGCGUGGUCCGAGUAUAUUUAAACGAGUUUUACGUAUAAUGAUACCGACGAUACGAACCAUUGUCUCAGUAGUUCUCUGAUCAAAUUUGAAAAACCGAGGAAAAACUGGAAAAUAUAAGAAAUGCAGGUAUUACUUAAAAUAUAUCAUGGCCUUUUUUUUUCUGUGCACAAUUUUUCUAUCAGCAAUUUUGCUCCAAUUUGUAAUGAUUGCGAUUUUUCUAAAAUGAAAUUCGCCUGGGAAGGUACUCUAUGGAAGUCAUUUUUUGAUUUUCCCAAAAGUUUUCCCGACAUAUGUGAAAAACCGGGUUAAAACAUGGAAAACCCGAGAAAAACGUAGCAAAACUGGAAAAAUCGGUUAAACAUUUUACAAAUAUUAAAGAAAAUAUAUAUAUAAAGCCUAUUGAGUUAUUUUACCAUAAAAUGAUGUGUACAUUUGUUGACAAAGCAUCACUAUCAACCGAACUUUUCUCAGAAUCGUUUUUUUUUUUUUGUAAGCAAUGGCUUGUCGUUGCUUACAGGCACACGUCAAAUUGUCUGUAACAGUGGUUGCGCCCGUCCCCGUUAUCCAAAGACGUAUUUUUCCAUAAUACAGCGUUCGUAUCCCCGGUUUUUCCAUAAUUAUCUCGUUAUAGAAAUUUCUUCAUUCGCCGUUCUCUCGGUACACAUUGUUCAUGUAAUGAAUAUUCUUCUGUAGCGUUACAUUUCAAACGCAUUUACAAUUUCUUUAGGCUAUCAAUACUGACGUGGCCCGGGUUUCGCUACCGUCGUUCAACAUUGCGUUCUAAACAUUAUUGAGUCUUCAAUAAAACGUUCUACUAACGUUGUUUGACACCGUUUCGCCGUUAAACGUAAUGUUAGCUCGGUCUCGCCCGACACGAGUGUGUAGGUAUUUAUACGGAGUGUGCGUGCGCGGUUGUCAUCAUUGUUGCAACCUAUUCCGAGUCCUCUGACCGAAAUACUUGUAAUGUAUUAUUACGCGUAUAUAGGAAACGUUCGCAGCUGCAGCGGAUCGAUAAUACAAUAAUAUGCAGUAAGCCUUUCACACGAGGCGGCCCGGUAUAAUAAUAAUAAUAAUAAUAGUAUGUCUUGUAUCACCUCUCGAACGUGUGUGUGCGGCGAGGGGACAAAAAGAAAAAAAAAAAAAAAUUCGUGAAAAAAUUCCUUUAUACAGUAUAAUAUAGGCGACGGGUAUACGCGUACGCCUCUACACUACCGACGAGAGACACCUGUACUCGUCCGGAGGGUCCUUCUCUUUUCUUUCCCUGACUCCUAUUCAUGUACAUUAUAUCACGAACCCCACGGGAUAUUGUCGUCGGAUUUUCAUUAUUAUUAUUAUUAUUUCGAAAUUGGGUGCCUACGCAUACAAUAAUAAUAAUAAUAAUAUGUUGUGUACGUAUACCGUUUAAGGUGCGCGCAAACAUCGCGUCACAUAUACCCAUACACUGACACACACACACACACAAACGCACAAGCAUGCACAAAACCCUCGUCUCUUGUGUCGAGUCGGCGGUUUAAACGAGCCUUAUCCCCCGAACGGUCGGCGUGUUUGUGUGUUUUUAUUGUGCACAGUGUAUAAGUAUCGAAUAUACUCUGGGACCGCAGCGCUAAUAGAGAGAGACCCGUAUCGUAUUGUGCGCUACGCACACGAAAAUACUGCGGGGGCGAACCGCGUUAACGUCUCGCCGUCAUCCCGCAGAGAUAUUAGGUCGCGUUGACCGUAUUGACAUAUUAUUAUAUUAUUAUCGCUGUUGAAAUUCGAUACCGAAUAAAUAGUAGUAUUAUAUAGGUACGGUCGCCGAUCUAUACACAGUAUUUGUUUAUUUAUUUUAACUGUACGGUUUUGUUAUCGUCGAUAUCGCAUUGCGAUCUCGGUCUUAGAAGAUAACGCUGUCGGGACAGCGCAGCCUAUCGUCUCUGUGCCAAUAUUGUGCGGUCGCUCAGAGAGACAGUUUCGGUUCACUUUUUUCCCAUUUUUUUUUUUUCUUCUAGAUAACGUCCCGAAUCCAGUUUUAUUGAGAUCAUAUUCAAAAACGUCUAAGAUCGUACUUCGUGUGACCCGUGUUUAAAUCCUAAUGCUAUUUCAACUUAGACACGGUGAUUUAUGUUGUGUAUUUUAACGUGUCGUCCGUCGGUCAGGCUGAGACAGUGAACGCGGUUGUGCUCUGCUCUUAGGAGGACGUUACAGCCCACACCCGCUGUCUCCGUUUUACAAAACGAACGACAUAGCAAAUUUGCGUUCAGCAGGGACGAUUUUGUAUUGUUAAUUUUUAAAUCAGUGCAGUGAAUUGACCUAAUACCAUACUUAAAAAUACGGACACACUUCGCACCACGCGGGCUACUGCCGUAGUUGAGAAGUUGGAAAGGUAGAGGGGAAAUUUAUUGUUUAUCUGUACGCAACGAUUGGCCGAUUGCUAACGAAAAACCGAUUCCGAGUGAAGUUCCGUUAACAGCGUUGCUUUGCCAAUAAUAUACACGCAUGUCAUAUUAUGGAUUAUAUAUUUUCUUCAGUUAUAUUUGUUCGAUGCUGAACCUAUCUAUUUCCCUACGUUUUUCCCGGAUUUUCCCAUUUUUUUUUUUUUUUUAUGAAAACAGUUGAGAAAAUCAAAAUAUUAGCUCCCUAAAGUACCGCCCCGGUCAGAUUUUCUUUCGGGAAAAACGGUGUCGUAAAUCGGAGCUAAAUUUCCGGUACAGCAGAGUUGUUCACGGAUAUAAAAAAAAAAAAAAAACCACCGUUGUAAAACCAAUACAAUUCUCGCUCUGCUCGGAAUCUAAAACGAUAAGAAUAUUAUCUGUAUAACAACGCCGCCGAUUUGUGAAUUAUCGCGGUUUAAAAAUACUUAUUUCUCACUUAAAAAUUUAACUAUCGAAAAACCGACGGACUAUACUUUAUAUACAGUGUAACUGCGGUUACACAGAUAAUGUUCUUGUUUUUAACUUUGAUAACAAACGAAUUCACUCAUAUCUCUAAUAUUACAAUGUAACAGCGUAAAAUUUUCCCCGCUGUACGUGAUUUUGCCGCGUCACCCGUUAGUUAGACUGAGCCUGCAAUAAACGCGCGGCCGCGGCUUCUUUUUGAACGUGCACGUGUUACGGAGCGAAGCGAAACUGUAGUGCAACUCCGUGGAUACCGAGAUCGCCACCGAUACUGUACGGCUAUUCAAUAACGUUAUUAUUUAUUUUUUUUUUUUUUUUAGCUUGACGAUGUUUCGACAAUUAUAAAUCAACAUACGCGUAAACGACACAAACGAACGGAUAUGAUCGCAUUGCGCGUACCUAAAGUUAGUGUAGUCUGCGAAAUGCAAAUAUCUUGCAUGCAGUUUUGUGUGAGCACGGGUAUACAUGACUUGCGAGUAUUUUGCGGUCGGUUCAACCGGUUCGGUUCGGUUGGUUUUUGCCGUGGCCGGUGACGACCUCGAUCGCUCGGACGAAAUAAUAAUAAUAUAAUAUUUAUAUCUACUGGCCAAAACACAUUCGCCGUCGUAUAGUGCAGCGCGCGGCAAACACUUUGUGUAGUUCGCGCAGUACCGGUACGCGCAACAGGAUAAAAAACGAAAUUUAAAGGCGAUUUCGCAUAUAGUGCGCGCAUCGUUAUUCGUCUCGUUGACAUAAUAUAUUAUGUAAAUAAACGAGCGUAUUACUGAAAGAAAAAAAAAACGCAUGUUGUAAUUUUGGGUACGGAUGUUGUGCCAAUCGUACGCAAUCCGUUACUAAAACGCGGUUUAAAAAAUAAAAAAAAAAACACGAAAUAAUCGAGCUGUGUAUAAUAAUAUGGUCUUAUACGAAAUUAUCGAAAUCAAAAAUAUUACCGGCUUACGAGUCGGUACAAAUUUCAAAUUUAAUAAGUAACAAAAAAUAUACGGAGGUAUAAAUUCCGCUUUUAGUGUGUCCCCGCCAGAGCCGCGUCAGACCGUUUGGCACCCAGGGACAUUGGUUUUUAAGAGCCUCUCUCUUCGAGGCCUUACCCGAGGAUUCAAUUGAAGGAUUUGAUCCCCCCGAAAUUCUUAUUCUCGUACAAUGUUAUUAAAUUCAUAUUCAAAUUUUAACAUUUUACUUCUGCCCCAAACAUGAUUCUUUCUUACUUUUGAAUUUUUUUUCUGGGUACACAUAAGGGUAUUACAUGUUACUAAGCUGUACAUAGGUUCUCUUAAUAACCAAAUGUUCAUUAUUACUCAAAGCAAAACGUUUGCGAAAAACAACUAAAAAGUGACGUAAUAUUGACAUUGUUAAUUUUAUUUCGAGCUUUAAUCGAGCCGGGCUCCCGCCCCGGCUUUUUCAAAUGCUUUAGCUCCUCGGGAAAAACACAAUCGUUGCUCACCUCUUAACGCGGCCAAGGUUCCCACUCGAAUAUUCCCUGAACGUUCUUCUGCUGCGGUUCUUCGCAAAAUAUUAUGAAAUCGUUCUCAAAUUCAAUAUAAUAAACCUAUUCGAAUCCCGUAUGCAGUCUCUAUACAACGGCGCUACAUGUUGUUUGGUCUAUUCGGUCAAUCAGACUAGAUUUUCAAUAUCGACAUAGAAAUGUUUGUACAGAAACAGUGGCGUGCCCGGAAAUUCCGAACGAGACGGGACGUGAUAAACAACGAUAAAUAACGAUUCGUGAACAAUCGGUAGAAUUUUUUCCCGGUUAAUAUAAUCUGUACGCGACAAUAUAACGACAGUUUAAAAGUCAAAUCCAAAAAUUAUCAAUCGAGCUUUUAAACGUCGUACGACCUCACCGCAACGCGUAAUUUCAGGAUAAAAUUCUAAAACAAACAACAAUCAUAGUCAUUCUGUUUUAAAGUCGAUGAGUAUGUGUGUGUGGGGGGGGGAAGGUAUAAAAUCGCCCCUCGUGGGCACGGCACUGCGGUAUAGAAAACAGUUUCUUGUAUAUCGUAUCCAAUCUCCCAUAAUACGAAUGUAUUCACCUACAUUGGAAUAUUAUUGUUGUACAAAAAUAUGCCUCCGCAACGGUCGAAAAUUGCGUUAGUCAACAACUUUAUCUGAACGGAUGUAUAGCACAUUGACUCCGGAUGGUGUAAAUAUAACGUGCGUCUCUGUUGGGGACGAUUCGACACAAUCACAAUCAUCCGUUGUUGACGGACUUUUUACAAUUUUUUUUUCACAUUUAUUUUUUUAUUUUUUUUUUUAGAUUAUUCCGUCUGCUGAAAGGAACCAUUAUCCUCUGCCGCGAAAUUAUCCCGCAGUUUCGAUGGGAUUUUAUUUUAGACGUGCUCACAUUUGCAAAUACAAAACAAAAUUGUAAAUAACCGAUAAAACAACGGCGUUUACCACGUGUAAAAACAAAAUUUACUGUAAAUACGCAUGGUGCCUAUACCCUUUGCUGCAUCCCUUUCCGUUGAUAACAAUGCCUGGGCACGCCACUGUACGCACGUAUACAAAAAUCGAAAGUCGCGU